AACGCACGAGACCUGCGGACCUGCGGAGGGAUCAUUACUGAGUAGUUUUUACUCACAACCUUUGUGAAUUUAUCUGUUGCUUUGGCAGGGAGCUAGGCGAGUUACUAUGUAAUAAGCCUACUAAUUGUUAGGGUUAAAAUUGCCUUAUGCCCUGCCAAAGACUUUUUGCUCACGGUAUUUUAGUGAAUUUCUGAGUUUAUUUUAAAGUAUAUAAACUUUCAGCAACGGAUCUCUAGAUCG
rnacentral:misc_RNA from 1 species